GAUGAGAAGAAUAAUAUGGUUGAAGUGCAGAUUAAGUUCGAGUGGCUAUAUCUUUAAAGUUCACAUUAGCACUCGAGAAUCUUCAAAGGUGUUUCAUAUUCUGCGAAGGAUUUAAUAAAGCAAACUAUUUUGACGAUGUUAAGAGUUGCUUCCGCCGGAUUAGUUCUCCGUUAUGGUCAGAGUUUUGACACAUCCUCUCGAUUGAUUACUGUCCUCUUCGUUAAUCACCGGAUGGCCACGUGUAUGUUGUGCAGUUGAUUGUUAAGGUUUAUAAGGUAUUGGGUUGAAAAAUGGUAAACCAAACAAUCAAGAAGCAAUCAAGUGUUCUUGUGCAAUUGCAGAGGAGGCUAAAUGGAAAGAUGCCUUGAAAACUUAUUGCUGUUUGGGGAAACAGAAAAAGGUCACAAGUUAAAUGAAUAGAGACAUUUUCAUUUGUAUAUAUUUUGAAUCCAUUUGUAUUUGAAAUUAUUUAUCUAUGAUAUUAUAGAUACAUUUGGUUUCAUUUGUCUGGAAUGGAUACCUUUUU
rnacentral:lncRNA from 1 species